rnacentral:sRNA from 1 species
GCUGGGCAUGGUGGUGCACACCUGUAAUCCAAGUGGCUUGGGAGGUUGAGGCAGGAGGAUCAUGAGUUCAAAACUAGCCUCAGCAAAAGUGAGGUGCUAAGCAACUCAGGGAGCCCCUGUCUCUA